CUUUUCUGUUUUUAUUUCCAUUUGCGUUGUUUGGUUAAGCCACCAACAAGAUCAAGCGUUUGCUCCUGGCUCAGUUCAUUUACAAGUUCGGUCCAAUUAAGAAGUCUCCAAAACCGAAAGUGGUAAAAGUGUUGUUAGUAAAAGGCUUUCACUUUGUGUUAUCAGCCCAAGAAGCGGGCUUGGGAUACUUUUCGGAGUCUUUUUGCCUGUUAGACAGGAUUAAAUGACGAGAUCAAGCGCGGGUCGGAGAUUUGGUUUAUUUAAUUUCAAUAGUUUGACGUGACAUUUAUAAAUUUUUACUACGCCGCUACACUCCUUUAUUCGCCGCACACAAUGCGUUAUUAUUAGUGAGUACACCAGCUGUAGGGGUUUAUUUUUAGAAUGUUUUUAUGCACGUUGUAUCGUGGCUCCUGUAAUAUGGCUUUACAGUGGAGUGUAAAACAUUUUCAACUGUAUGAAGCAAGCAACGUAGUAUCAAUUUGCAUCCAGUCGCAAUUUUCUCGGAUAUUUUCAAGAAUAUCAAAUAUGAAUAUGGUUGACUGUAGGAAGUCGGUUCCAAGCAUCUGAAACACAUGCGCCCGCUAUCAUCAUAGAAACCUGAGUUUUCCAUUUCGAUAAAUUUAUUUAUUGCAUCAUUCAUCACCAGCUGAAGGCAGCGGGAUAGUUGAAUCCUUUUACUUGUUUACUGUUAGUUUUUGUAUUAACAGAUCUUCGCGAGGUAUUGCUUUGAUUUUCCCAGAAUAAAGAUAUCUUCAUAUUGAA